rfam:Pteropus alecto contig168292, whole genome shotgun sequence.
GGUUCCAUAGUGUAGUGGUUAGCACAUCUGCUUUAUAUGCAGAAGGUCCCGGGUUUGUGCCCCAGUGGAGCCC